GGGUUGUGAGGUUAAGCGACUAAGCGUACACGGUGGAUGCCCUGGCAGUCAGAGGCGAUGAAGGACGUGCUAAUCUGCGAUAAGCGUCGGUAAGGUGAUAUGAACCGUUAUAACCGGCGAUUUCCGAAUGGGGAAACCCAGUGUGAUUCGUCACACUAUCAUUAACUGAAUCCAUAGGUUAAUGAGGCGAACCGGGGGAACUGAAACAUCUAAGUACCCCGAGGAAAAGAAAUCAACCGAGAUUCCCCCAGUAGCGGCGAGCGAACGGGGAGCAGCCCAGAGCCUGAAUCAGUGUGUGUGUUAGUGGAAGCGUCUGGAAAGGCGCGCGAUACAGGGUGACAGCCCCGUACACAAAAAUGCACAUGCUGUGAGCUCGAUGAGUAGGGCGGGACACGUGGUAUCCUGUCUGAAUAUGGGGGGACCAUCCUCCAAGGCUAAAUACUCCUGACUGACCGAUAGUGAACCAGUACCGUGAGGGAAAGGCGAAAAGAACCCCGGCGAGGGGAGUGAAAAAGAACCUGAAACCGUGUACGUACAAGCAGUGGGAGCACUCUUAAUGGGGUGACUGCGUACCUUUUGUAUAAUGGGUCAGCGACUUAUAUUCUGUAGCAAGGUUAACCGAAUAGGGGAGCCGAAGGGAAACCGAGUCUUAACUGGGCGUUAAGUUGCAGGGUAUAGACCCGAAACCCGGUGAUCUAGCCAUGGGCAGGUUGAAGGUUGGGUAACACUAACUGGAGGACCGAACCGACUAAUGUUGAAAAAUUAGCGGAUGACUUGUGGCUGGGGGUGAAAGGCCAAUCAAACCGGGAGAUAGCUGGUUCUCCCCGAAAGCUAUUUAGGUAGCGCCUCGUGAAUUCAUCUCCGGGGGUAGAGCACUGUUUCGGCAAGGGGGUCAUCCCGACUUACCAACCCGAUGCAAACUGCGAAUACCGGAGAAUGUUAUCACGGGAGACACACGGCGGGUGCUAACGUCCGUCGUGAAGAGGGAAACAACCCAGACCGCCAGCUAAGGUCCCAAAGUCAUGGUUAAGUGGGAAACGAUGUGGGAAGGCCCAGACAGCCAGGAUGUUGGCUUAGAAGCAGCCAUCAUUUAAAGAAAGCGUAAUAGCUCACUGGUCGAGUCGGCCUGCGCGGAAGAUGUAACGGGGCUAAACCAUGCACCGAAGCUGCGGCAGCGACGCUUAUGCGUUGUUGGGUAGGGGAGCGUUCUGUAAGCCUGUGAAGGUGUGCUGUGAGGCAUGCUGGAGGUAUCAGAAGUGCGAAUGCUGACAUAAGUAACGAUAAAGCGGGUGAAAAGCCCGCUCGCCGGAAGACCAAGGGUUCCUGUCCAACGUUAAUCGGGGCAGGGUGAGUCGACCCCUAAGGCGAGGCCGAAAGGCGUAGUCGAUGGGAAACAGGUUAAUAUUCCUGUACUUGGUGUUACUGCGAAGGGGGGACGGAGAAGGCUAUGUUGGCCGGGCGACGGUUGUCCCGGUUUAAGCGUGUAGGCUGGUUUUCCAGGCAAAUCCGGAAAAUCAAGGCUGAGGCGUGAUGACGAGGCACUACGGUGCUGAAGCAACAAAUGCCCUGCUUCCAGGAAAAGCCUCUAAGCAUCAGGUAACAUCAAAUCGUACCCCAAACCGACACAGGUGGUCAGGUAGAGAAUACCAAGGCGCUUGAGAGAACUCGGGUGAAGGAACUAGGCAAAAUGGUGCCGUAACUUCGGGAGAAGGCACGCUGAUAUGUAGGUGAAGUCCCUCGCGGAUGGAGCUGAAAUCAGUCGAAGAUACCAGCUGGCUGCAACUGUUUAUUAAAAACACAGCACUGUGCAAACACGAAAGUGGACGUAUACGGUGUGACGCCUGCCCGGUGCCGGAAGGUUAAUUGAUGGGGUCAGCGCAAGCGAAGCUCUUGAUCGAAGCCCCGGUAAACGGCGGCCGUAACUAUAACGGUCCUAAGGUAGCGAAAUUCCUUGUCGGGUAAGUUCCGACCUGCACGAAUGGCGUAAUGAUGGCCAGGCUGUCUCCACCCGAGACUCAGUGAAAUUGAACUCGCUGUGAAGAUGCAGUGUACCCGCGGCAAGACGGAAAGACCCCGUGAACCUUUACUAUAGCUUGACACUGAACAUUGAGCCUUGAUGUGUAGGAUAGGUGGGAGGCUUAGAAGUGUGGACGCCAGUCUGCAUGGAGCCGACCUUGAAAUACCACCCUUUAAUGUUUGAUGUUCUAACGUUGACCCGUAAUCCGGGUUGCGGACAGUGUCUGGUGGGUAGUUUGACUGGGGCGGUCUCCUCCUAAAGAGUAACGGAGGAGCACGAAGGUUGGCUAAUCCUGGUCGGACAUCAGGAGGUUAGUGCAAUGGCAUAAGCCAGCUUGACUGCGAGCGUGACGGCGCGAGCAGGUGCGAAAGCAGGUCAUAGUGAUCCGGUGGUUCUGAAUGGAAGGGCCAUCGCUCAACGGAUAAAAGGUACUCCGGGGAUAACAGGCUGAUACCGCCCAAGAGUUCAUAUCGACGGCGGUGUUUGGCACCUCGAUGUCGGCUCAUCACAUCCUGGGGCUGAAGUAGGUCCCAAGGGUAUGGCUGUUCGCCAUUUAAAGUGGUACGCGAGCUGGGUUUAGAACGUCGUGAGACAGUUCGGUCCCUAUCUGCCGUGGGCGCUGGAGAACUGAGGGGGGCUGCUCCUAGUACGAGAGGACCGGAGUGGACGCAUCACUGGUGUUCGGGUUGUCAUGCCAAUGGCACUGCCCGGUAGCUAAAUGCGGAAGAGAUAAGUGCUGAAAGCAUCUAAGCACGAAACUUGCCCCGAGAUGAGUUCUCCCUGACUCCUUGAGAGUCCUGAAGGAACGUUGAAGACGACGACGUUGAUAGGCCGGGUGUGUAAGCGCAGCGAUGCGUUGAGCUAACCGGUACUAAUGAACCGUGAGGCUUAACCUUACAACGCCGAAGGUGUUU
rnacentral:rRNA from 1 species